GUCAGGAGGAAAACACUUAUGCGGGUGAUUUUGUUCAGCGCACGGUAACCGACGCAAUAACACACUGAACCGUCUUUCUUCUGCACUAGAACAACAAAGGAGGACCAGGGACUCGAGGAAAGAGAUGGCCAAAGAACGUAAGCGGAGGAGGUGACGAGAAGGAUCCGUUCUUCACGGUUAGAAAGAAUAGCCGGCGGCAUCCAGUUCUUUGAGGCGCUGACGACAACAGAUAGAUGCGGAGGCAGAAGAUAAAUACCCCACCCCAAAAAGAGUCCGCCCUUCCAGUUCUUCACAUUGGCUUCACCGUUGCUCGGAUGAAGACAAGAAGCUGUCCGUGGGCUGGCGGAUACGCCAGGUUGAAAAUGCAGUGCACAAGCAAACGCAUUAACGUUACAGAAACACACAUUACCGAAGUUUUGUAAGGCACGCAAUUGAAUGACCUGAGUUAAGAACGGCCUGCUGAGGUGCAAGUUUUGCCAGCCAGGUGCGAGAGCGGCGUCGACUUUUCCUGCAAUGCCACCGCCACUCUCUAGCCACACGGCGUCACUAAGUCUACUGUGUGUAGAGAACAAUACGCCGCGUCCUCGACCCUUCGUCGCGGCAUUGCCGAGAUGGGUUCGACGAACCAGGCUUUGUGACUGAACACGCCACCGCCGACCCGGUUUGCCGUGAGCAAGGGAGUUCCCGAGGGAACGUCUUUGGAGGCCCCUUCCCACGCACCGUUUCUGACGUAAGCCCCGAGUUCUGCAAAGUCCGUCUGCCCUCGGUGGGGUCCGCGAAACCGGUGCAGAAGCGUGUUCCGGACCGUGAAACCGGUGCAGAAGCCCUCCCGCUCAAAGGUGGCUCGUCUACUGAUCGAACGUUUCCCUCACCUAGGGAUCGAGGGAGGACCGAGUGUUUAUAAACCGCUGUUGUGCGACUGCUCAGUGUACUUUCUCUCGCAGUCAUGCUAGACUGAUGAACUGCAACGUCCUUACGUAGAUACUGUAAAUAAACCCAUAUUCCUCGUUCUCGAUGAGAAGCAGUCCUUCCCUUCAACAACGUCCUCAGCGUGGAUAAGUUGGACGACGGCAUGGGCCAGCUACCAUCUGAUUCAUGCCCGAUUCCAAUCUUGACAACGGGUUACGAGCGGUGAGAUUGACCUCCCAAUCCUCACACCUGGCAUGGUCGCGGACCGCGGAUGAUUUCCUUUCCUUCGCCCCGCACAAUACAAAACCCCAUCCUGCCGUUCGGCAGUACCUGUAAAAAAGAAAGUUAAAUGAAUGUAAUCUAUUCAAAUCGAUUGUACGGGCCUUAUUAUUCCUACAACAACAACAACAACAAGAUGCGGUAAUUUUCAUAUUUGAUGCUACAGGAUAAUCCGAUUGGCAUUAUCACAUUAUCCUAUAGUGUGCGAGACGACCCACCUUCCUUGCACGUUUGCGCUUCGCUACCGAAGUUGUCGAGUAAGCCAAUUAUGUUAAGCUCGACAUAAUUGUGCAUGACGUUAAAGGGUUGAGAAAAGUAUUCUAACUUCACUGCUAGCGGCGGCCUCUUCGCUAUAGCGCCGUCGGCCCCGGAUGCGACGGCUAGCUGUUUAGGCCCCUAUACCGAUCACCAGCGAUCGGUGGCUGUCAGUGGAGCCGACAGCGUGGUGCGUUGUUGGUUCGUGUGCAACGAAGGAGCGUUAGCAUUGUAAAAAAAAAAAAGAACGUCUUUCAUCUUUGGUGAACUAUGCUUUGUUGCACAUGAACCAUAUCAGUGCGGCAAACCUUUCCAUAUGGCGCAGCGCACCGUCUGCACUGUCGACUCCGCUCGAGCGCCACCGAUUGUUGGGAGCAGGGAAGGCCUUCCGGCCUCUGCGGUCGCGGCCGAUGGCACUUGCGAAGGAGUCGCCACUGUACAAUUAGGCUUCUGUUUUUGGCCAACACUCUGUCAAAUGUUUUGGAGUUCGUCGAAUGAAUCUGACUCACCAACAACGCCGGGUCUAUUAAGAUAUAUUAACUCCUUAACACAAAAGUUUUCCUCUGUGUUCUUUUUGUUCUGUUUUCUGAAAAGUCCCCCUCCUACCUUCCCAGUCCAUCGCAGAUGCAUAAGCAUAUCGCAGUCCUGCUGUGACGUAUACAGCUUAGUCAACAGUGUUACCGUGCACUGCUGACGGUCGCAUGACUUCCUCGGCUCCGAAGCAUUAAAGGCUGAAAGGUAGGGCCCAAAAUCACAGUUGGGAUAAUAUAGUACGGAGAAAUAUAUAUCGCGGUAUUUACAAAAGUUAGUCCAUAUGAUCGUCUCUGCGUUUUAGUAAAAUUAUUCUGAGAAGUCGCUUAGAUGCCUAUUGCUCUGGCAUUAGAGAAUGCGAUUCUGCUUAAAUGGCACCCAUAAAUCUUGCUGCAAAAUUUAAGAGGGGGGCAAUAACAAAUCCUGAUUAUAUAUGCAACACUUCAAAAAACACAGUCUGUGAGCAUUUGUUAUAUAGCCAACAAGGUGCAAGUAUCUCCAAAUUGAUCACAUACUUAAAUUUAUGUAACAGACAUAUAUAAUGUAUAGCUGAAUUUAAAAAAGAAGAAACGUUGAGAUAUGUUGAUGUUAAGGAAAGGAAGACAUUUAUUACUCCACUUGUCUUUAUUUUUAUCCUUUGACUCGUACGGCAAUUCAGGCGCCAUUUUGAAAUGAAGCAUUAAAAGUGAUUUUUCGA